UGAUAUCAAAAACAGAAUAACUACUAGUACCUAUUCAUUUGAAGAUAUCUUCCGCCUUAAAAGGAACUAGUAAGAAUGGGUUUGGAGAUAUCUUGAUUCAAACACAUUAUUGCAUAAACAUGAGUACCACCCUCAGUCAUCCAAUCAGAGUUAACAUACUAGUGCAACGUAUCCUUGGGUAUUGAAGCAGCACUUCCGCCAUGCUUGUCGCCAUAUUUGUGUCCGACAUGGCAGUUAACAACACAUCUAAACGAGACUAAAAUAACUCGAUAUUUGGGAAAAACAUAUUAUUAGUUGUGUGCCUUAUUUAUUAGGCUACCUCCAAUUGUGUUUUGUCCCUUACAAUCUGCGACGCGUCUGCUAAACUUUUCCGGACAUUAAUAUCUUGUACAUAAUCUAUUGCUAUCGUCAUACAGCGGAGCGAGAAAGCAUGCAUCUAAAUACGUCAUUGCAGGGUGUGUGAACCACACCAAUAUGUGGUAUCUGGAGACAAAACAUAUAUUUGUGAAAACAGGACAGCUCCAAAGUGAAGGCCAAGAAGCAGAGCCCAAAAAAAAGUGCAAUCCUGUCAGUCAUCGAAGGCCAUUUCAUCAGAUACAUGCCCAAGACUGUACUACUGGAUCUGCCAACACCUCUGACUACUCUUUAUGCAAGCCCCAGGCUUGAAAUGGAUUUGCCCGCACUGCUGGAGGAGGGUGCCGAGACCUUUGAGAAGCUGCAUCUCACACCACAGCAGAUGGGGUCUAAAAAAUGAGGACACUGCCAGAGAAUCGUACCUGAGGGCGAUGCAGGACCUCCAAGCAGACCUCCACGUUGCAGCAUCUGGAUUUAUAAGUAACCCAGAGGUGCCAUGGAUCGGUGGAUCACCAGAUGGUGUGGUGAUGGUGUUAUAGAUUAAAUGUCCUUUCAGUGCAAAAGACCGCACCGGAGAUCCUUAUAUGGUGUCUUUCGUCUAUGCGUCAUUUCAUCACAUUCGUACACAGAACAAAGAGGAUCCGGCUGCUAGCCCGCAUGUGGAUGCGAGUGACAGGCAGUUUAUAGCGUGUACUCACAACUGCUGGGUAGGAUUUCAUACAACGUUUAGUAUUAUUUAUGGCGGCGUUUAGUACUUUUACUUUUAAACGCCAAGCAGUGUUGACAUCUGGGGAUUCAUCAUUUGUGAAAAACAAGAAAGAACGAACUGAUGACAGUUUACAAAGAAACAGGGAAUGUGAUCGGAAGCUGGAAGCUGAUGAUUCAUUGCUCACUGUAGCCUUUUGACCGUUGUUGAGUUGCUUGAUACUAGUUACAAAGAUGCUACUACAUUUUCCUUCCCUCUUUACUUUAGGUGCCUGAGGAGUCCUA